rnacentral:rRNA from 1 species
GACGAACGCUGGCGGCGUGCUUAACACAUGCAAGUCGAACGGAAAGGCCCUGCUUUUGUGGGGUGCUCGAGUGGCGAACGGGUGAGUAACACGUGAGUAACCUGCCCUUGACUUUGGAUAACCUUAGGAAACCGGGGCUAAUACCGGAUAGGAGCUCCUGCUUCAAGGGGGGGGGUUGAAAGGUUCGGGGGGUGGGGGUGGACUCGGGGCUUAUCAGCUUGUUGGUGGGGUAGUGGCUUACCAAGGCUUUGACGGGUAGCCGGCCUGGGAGGGUGACCGGCCACAUUGGGACUGAGAUACGGCCCAGACUCCUACGGGAGGCAGCAGUGGGGAAUAUUGCACAAUGGGCGGAAGCCUGAUGCAGCAACGCCGCGUGCGGGAUGACGGCCUUCGGGUUGUAAACCGCUUUCGCCUGUGACGAAGCGUGAGUGACGGUAAUGGGUAAAGAAGCACCGGCUAACUACGUG